rnacentral:pre_miRNA from 1 species
GAGUCACCGUGAGUUCCCAUAAAACACUUCAUACGGCACUGUUUCAAGGGGCGUUGUGAAGUGUUUGGAGGAACUCUUGGUAUCAU